AACAACCCCAUCAACCAGAAGGAAUUCCUUCCAAUCAAUGAGGUGGAACAGCCUCAUUGACCGGAAGGAAUUCCUUCCAGUCAAUGAGGUUGUU
rnacentral:miRNA from 1 species